GGAAGAAGCUUCUCCUCAUUCUCUCUGUGUUUGCUUUCAAGGAGCAGAAGCGUUUCUCUGAACACAACAAAGAAAAGAGUCCAUUGUUGAGAUGGGUGAGAUCUUUUACAAUCUUCCUGGCCCUGGUCCGGCACCACUUGCUUUACAUAACAUAAUACAGUUUACAGAUCAUUUGAAAUAUUACAAAAAGUACAUAAAUUGAAUCCAACUCAAGCUGGCACAAUCUCUGGAUUAUACGAGAUGGAAUAAAAAGAGAAGCAAGUGGAGAGAAAUUAGCAUAGCUGCUGUUCAUAAUAAUAACCAGAACUGGAUAAUAAUUUCUAUGUACUGAAGCACACAGUUAUAGAAUGUAUUAUGUGUAUGCCUGGCUAAAGAGAUAUAUCUUUAAUCUACAUUUAACCUGGGAGAGUGUGUCUGAGCCGUGAACAAUGUAAUGUGCUCGUUCUAAUAGGUUUUCGUUUAGUACAACUUAUUCACAGGAACUUGUAUGGAAGAAGCUUGAUGUGAUUCAUUCUAAUAAUAAAUAGAUUUAAAAAAAUGUUAUUUAACAUGAUUGAUAUGGUGAUAAUUUGUAUUUUUUAUGAGUAUUUUUGUCUGAUGUGGAAAUGACAUGUUUUAACUGCUGUUACAUAAGUAAAAAAAGGAACUAUGUUUUGUUGACAUUCCACAACAAUACAUGCUAUAAACUAUAAACACAUAUAAAAUAUGACGUUCUGCUUUUCAAUAAAAAAAAAUUCAUUUUGCA